CCUACGGGAGACAGCAGUGGGGGAUAUUGCACAAUGGGGGGAACCCUGAUGCAGCGACGCCGCGUGGGUGAAGGAGUGCUUCGGCAUGUAAAGCCCUAUCGGCAGGGAAGAAGCAAGACGGUACCUGACUAAGAAGCCCCGGCUAACUACGUGCCAGCAGCCGCGGUAAUACGUAGGUGGCGAGCGUUAUCCGGCUUCACUGGGUGUAAAGGGAGCGUAGACGGCCAUGCAAGCCAGGGGUGAAAGCCCGGGGCCCAACCCCGGGACUGCCCUUGGAACUGUGCGGCUAGAGUGCGGGAGGGGCAGGCGGAAUUCCUGGUGUAGCGGUGAAAUGCGUAGAGAUCAGGAGGAACACCGGCGGCGAAGGCGGCCUGCUGGACCGCGACUGACGUUGAGGCUCGAAAGCGUGGGGAGCGAACAGGAUUAGAUACCCGGGUAGUC
rnacentral:rRNA from 1 species